CACGAAACCAGGCGAGCUACUGUAAGGCGUAUAUUAGUACAAGUAUGUGGCAUAAUAAAAUUAGACUUAACAGUAGGAGUGAAAGGCUGUCAAGUCUGGGGAUAUCUUGUUAACUUUGAAAUGUAUUUAGUACAAUGUUAAUUUAUUAGUGAUAAGGCUGGUAAAAUUUAUAUAAUUGGUUCCCUUGUGUGAACAUAGUUUAAUCGCUAGUUUUUUCACCAAUCUAACAUUAUUAUUAAUUUAUAGUAAAGAAUAAAAGUUACUUGUUGAUUUUUUAAAAAUAUUUAUAUUGUAGGUAUUAGUAAUUAAGAUACUAUUGAUGAACUCGGCAACAUUUCCUUCACCUGUUUAUCAAAAACAUAGCCAGUAGAAGGUGUUACUGGUUGACUCUGCUCAAUGUAAUAUAAAUAGCCGCAGUACCCUGACUGUGCAAAGGUAGCAUAAUCAUUUGGCUUAUAAUUGAAGUCUCGUAUGAAUGAGUGCAUGGGGGAAAGCUCUAUUAAUAGUAUAUAUUGAACUUACUUAAUGGGUGCAAAUUCCCAUCGUUAAAUAAUAGACGAGAAGACCCUGGAAAUUUUAAUAAAUGGGUUACACUAAAUUUUUGUUGGGGCAACAUAGUAGCAUUUAACCUACAAUAAAAACAUGCCAUGUUAUAGUAAGAAAAAUUACUCCAGGGAUAACAGCGUAAUUCUGUGUGAGUUUGCGACCUCGAUGUUGGACUAGGGAGCGAAUACUAGAA
rnacentral:rRNA from 1 species